GUAUAAGACAAGAGACAAAUAAUGGAGAGUCAAAAAUGGGUCGCAAGAGAAUACGGAGAACGGGCAGCAGCUGAAAUAGCCUGCCCUUCGGUGGGUCCCCGCUCAGAACUCAAGCUGGUUUUAGCUCUUCUUGUGCCAUUCUAUUCUCUUGCGACCCAUUUUUGACUCUCCACAAAUUUAAAGGGAUAAUCCAGAUGUGGACCCCUUGCUCACUGUGCCUAGAGAGAUAUCAGCUAUGCCUCACUGAUGAUGCCUAACAAGGCUGAAACUAUCAUCUGGGGUUGCUGUAUCUCUCGUGCAGAGAGAACUUGCUGGUAUUUCGGAUCUGGUCUGCCCGUAUGGGUGGGACCAGUCUGAUAUGCUUCAGAUAUGUUCUCUCUGUAAUGGCACAAGAUGAGCUAAAACCAGCUUGAGUUCUGAGCAGGGACCCACCGAAAGGCAGGAUAUUUUAGCUGCUGUCUGUUCUCCAAGAGACAAAUAAUGGUGCAGUACAAUUGGUGAAAAUUGGAAAGAAUAGUGAUGGGCAAAUUGCACAGUGUCUAGAGCUGUCUCAGCUCUAUUUAGAAAGCAUGGACGGAAUAAUCCCUGUCUGUGGAUAUAAGUGGAGGGCCUUUAGGGCUUGGAUUCAGAGUUAUGCAGGCAUCAUGUAAAAGAAACACAAGGGAAAAUCCAAAGGUAUAGUAUGUAUAUGUAAAUGGUAUUUUGGAGGAAAAUAUCUUACUUAACCCAGAGCAAUGGCC